rnacentral:rRNA from 1 species
CGGCAUGCCUUACACAUGCAAGUCGAACGGCAGCACGGGAGCAAUCCUGGUGGCGAGAGGCGAACGGGUGAGUAAUAUAUCGGAACGUGCCCAGUCGUGGGGGAUAACGCAGCGAAAGCUGUGCUAAUACCGCAUACGAUCUCUGGAUGAAAGCGGGGGACUCGCAAGAGCCUCGCGCGAUUGGAGCGGCCGAUAUCAGAUUAGCUAGUUGGCGGGGUAAAAGCCCACCAAGGCGACGAUCUGUAGCUGGUCUGAGAGGACGACCAGCCACACUGGAACUGAGACACGGUCCAGACUCCUACGGGAGGUAGCAGUGGGGAAUUUUGGACAAUGGGCGCAAGCCUGAUCCAGCAAUGCCGCGUGAGUGAAGAAGGCCUUCGGGUUGUAAAGCUCUUUUGUCAGGGAAGAAACGGUGGCGGCUAAUAUCCGCCACUAAUGACGGUACCUGAAGAAUAAGCACCGGCUAACUUCGUGCCAGCAGCCGCGGUAAUACGAAGGGGGCUAGCGUUGUUCGGAAUUACUGGGCGUAAAGCGCACGUAGGCGGAUUGUUAAGUCAGAGGUGAAAUCCCGGAGCUCAACUUCGGAACUGCCUUUGAUACUGGCAAUCUAGAGUUCGGAAGAGGUUAGUGGAAUUCCCAGUGUAGAGGUGAAAUUCGUAGAUAUUGGGAAGAACACCAGUGGCGAAGGCGGCUAACUGGUCCGAUACUGACGCUGAGGUGCGAAAGCG